UACGAAGGGGGCUAGCGUUGCUCGGAAUCACUGGGCGUAAAGCGCACGUAGGCGGAUGUGUCAGUCAGGGGUGAAAGCCCGCGGCUCAACCGCGGAACUGCCUCUGAUACUGCGAGCCUUGAGUCCUGGAGGGGCUGGCGGAAUUCGUGGUGUAGCGGUGAAAUGCGUAGAUAUCACGAGGAACACCGGAGGUGUAGACGGCCAGCUGGACAGGUACUGACGCUGAGGCACGAAAGCGUGGGGAGCGAACAGG
rnacentral:rRNA from 1 species